GGAAGUAAAAGUCGAACAAGGUUUCCGUAGGUGAACCUGCGGAAGGAUCAUUCAUAAUAAGUGUUUUAUGGCACUUUUUUAAAUCCAUAUCCACCUUGUGUGCAAUGUCAGGGUUGGUCUCUUUUGAUCAGCCCCAAACAUCAACUAUUAUCUCAACUCUUUGUCUGAAAAAUAUUAUGAAUAAAACAAUUCAAAAUACAACUUUCAACAACGGAUCUCUUGGCUCUC
rnacentral:misc_RNA from 1 species